GCGCCCGUAGCUCAAUGGAUAGAGUGCCGGUCUACGAAACCGUAGGUUGCAGGUUCGAAUCCUGCCGGGCGCA
rnacentral:tRNA from 1 species